GAACGCUGGCGGCGUGCCUAACACAUGCAAGUCAACUUGACUGAAGGAGCAAUCUGACAGUAGAGUGGCGCAAGGGUGCGUAACGCGUAAGUAACUUGCCCAAGGUAAGGAAUAACGUCGAGAAAUCGGCGCUAAUACCUCAUAAUGCAGCGGAUCCGCAUGGAUAUGUUGUUAAAGGUUUACCGCCUUGGGAUAGGCUUGCGUCUGAUUAGUUAGUUGGUGUGGUAACGGCACACCAAGGCUACGAUCAGUAACUGGUCUGAGAGGAUGAUCAGUCACACUGGAACUGAGACACGGUCCAGACUCCUACGGGAGGCAGCAGUGAGGAAUAUUGGGCAAUGCUCGAAAGAGUGACCCAGCAACGCCGCGUGGAGGAUGAAGGUAUUCUAUAUCGUAAACUCCUGUGAGAGCAGACGAAAGACAGAUUAUUAAUCUGGAUGACUGUAUGCUCAGAGGAAGCCCCGGCUAACUACGUG
rnacentral:rRNA from 1 species